rnacentral:rRNA from 1 species
AGCGAUCGCUGGCGGCAGGCCUAACACAUGCAAGUCGAACGAACUCUUCGGAGUUAGUGGCGGACGGGUGAGUAACACGUGGGAACGUGCCUUUUGGUUCGGAAUAACUCAGGGACACUUGUGCUAAUACCGAAUGUGCCCUUCGGGGGAAAGAUUUAUCGCCAUUAGAUCGGCCCGCGUCUGAUUAGCUAGUUGGUGAGGUAACGGCUCACCAAGGCGACGAUCAGUAGCUGGUCUGAGAGGAUGACCAGCCACACUGGGACUGAGACACGGCCCAGACUCCUACGGGAGGCAGCAGUGGGGAAUCUUGCGGAAUGGGCGAAAGCCUGACGCAGCCAUGCCGCGUGAAUGAUGAAGGUCUUAGGAUUGUAAAAUUCUUUCACCGGGGACGAUAAUGACGGUACCCGGAGAAGAAGCCCCGGCUAACUUCGUG